rnacentral:rRNA from 1 species
AGUGAACGCUGGCGGCAGGCCUAAUACAUGCAAGUCGAACGGCAGCACAGCAGAGCUUGCUCUGUGGGUGGCGAGUGGCGGACGGGUGAGGAAUACAUGGGAAUCUGCCCAGUCGUGGGGGAUAACGUAGGGAAACUUACGCUAAUACCGCAUGCGCCCUUCGGGGGAAAGCCGGGGACCUUCGGGCCUGGCGCGAUUGGAUGAGCCCAUGUCGGAUUAGCUAGUUGGCGGGGUAAAGGCCCACCAAGGCGACGAUCCGUAGCUGGUCUGAGAGGAUGAUCAGCCACACUGGAACUGAGACACGGUCCAGACUCCUACGGGAGGCAGCAGUAGGGAAUAUUGGACAAUGGGCGCAAGCCUGAUCCAGCCAUGCCGCGUGAGUGAAGAAGGCCCUCGGGUUGUAAAGCUCUUUUGUCCGGAAAGAAAAAGCGCCGGGUUAAUACCCUGGUGUCCUGACGGUACCGGAAGAAUAAGCACCGGCUAACCUUCGUG